UAGUCGGGGAGCCUUAGAGGCUGAGAUUGAUUUAUCAAGACCCGUUGAACCUGAUCCAGUUAACACUGGCGGAGGGAACUAUAGGUCU
rnacentral:ncRNA from 1 species